ensembl:lncRNA PVT1 Pvt1 oncogene
AUUGAAAAAAAAUGUUUAAGGGGACAUUUCUCUCUCCUAAACUUUUUAUGUUCCAUUGAAGACCUGGAAAACAUGUUAAAUAAAAAUGCUUUGCCACAGCUGACCUAUGUCUUCUGGCUUGUACCCCACAACAUCUUAUCUAAUGGAAGGACAGAAUAACGGGCUCCCAGAUUCACAAGCCCCACCAAGAGGAUCACCCCAGGAACGCUUGGAGGCUGAGGAGUUCACUGAGGCUACUGCAUCUUGAGACUCAGGAUGAAGACCCAGCUUGGGGCUGUCAAAGAGGCCUGAAGAGGCAGAACACCCCAGAGGAGCCUGGGGCCACCACCCAGCAUCACUGUGGGAAAACGGCAGCAGGAAAUGUCCUCUCGCCUGCGUGCUCCACCUCGGUCCACGCCUUCCCUCCUUCUGGAAGCCUUGCCUGACCACUGGCCUGCCCCUUCUAUGGGAAUCACUACUGACCUUGCAGCUUAUUAUAGACUUAUAUGUUUUUUGCAUGUCUGACACCCAUGACUCCACCUGGACCUUAUGGCUCCACCCAGAAGCAAUUCAGCCCAACAGGAGGACAGCUUCAACCCAUUACGAUUUCAUCUCUGCCCCAACCACUCAGCAGCAAGCACCUGUUACCUGUCCACCCCCACCCCUUCCCCCAAACUGCCUUUGAAAAAUCCCUAACCUAUGAGCUUUGAAUAAGAUGAGUACGAACUUCAUCGCCCACGUGGCGUGGCCGGCCUCGUGUCUAUUAAAUUCUUUUUCUACUACAA